rnacentral:rRNA from 1 species
AUUGAACGCUGGCGGCAUGCCUAACACAUGCAAGUCGAGCGGACGAAGGGAGCUUGCUCCUGGAUUCAGCGGCGGACGGGUGAGUAAUGCCUAGGAAUCUGCCUGGUAGUGGGGGAUAACGUCCGGAAACGGGCGCUAAUACCGCAUACGUCCUGAGGGUGAAAGGGGGGGAUCUUCGGACCUCGCGCUAUCAGAUGAGCCUAGGUCGGAUUAGCUAGUUGGUGGGGUAAAGGCGUACCAAGGCGACGAUCCGUAACUGGUCUGAGAGGAUGAUCAGUCACACUGGAACUGAGACACGGUCCAGACUCCUACGGGAGGCAGCAGUGGGGAAUAUUGGACAAUGGGCGAAAGCCUGAUCCAGCCAUGCCGCGUGUGUGAAGAAGGUCUUCGGAUUGUAAAGCACUUUAAGUUGGGAGGAAGGGCAGUAAGUUAAUACCUUGCUGUUUUGACGUUACCAACAGAAUAAGCACCGGCUAACUUCGUG